CCUACGGGAGGCAGCAGUGAGGAAUAUUGGUCAAUGGCCGGAAGGCUGAACCAGCCAUGCCGCGUGAAGGUCAGUGCCCUAUGGGCUUUAAACUUCUUUUGUGCGGGAGCAAUACUGGUCACGUUUUGCCAGACUAGAGUACCGUGCAAAUAAUCAUCGGCUAACUCCGUUCCAGCAGCCGCGGUAAUACGGGGGAUGCAAGCGUUAUCCGGAGUUAUUGGGUUUAAAGGGUGCGUAGGCUGGGAGGUAAGUCAACGCUGAAAUGCCCCCGCUCACAGGGGUGAAGUGCCAUUGAUACUGCCUUGCUGGAAUGCGCAUGAAGUGGGAGGAAUGUGUGGGGUAGCGGUGAAAUGCAUAGAUAUCACACAGAACACCGAUUGCGAAGGCAUCUCACGAAUCCGCGAUUGACGCUGAUGCACGAAAGCGUGGGUAUCAAACAGGAUUAGAUACCCUGGUAGUC
rnacentral:rRNA from 1 species